rnacentral:rRNA from 1 species
CCUACGGGAGGCAGCAGUGAGGAAUAUUGGUCAAUGGGCGCGAGCCUGAACCAGCCAAGUAGCGUGAAGGAUGACUGCCCUACGGGUUGUAAACUUCUUUUAUAAAGGAAUAAAGUGAGGCACGUGUGCCUUUUUGUAUGUACCUUAUGAAUAAGGCUCGGCUAACUCCGUGCCAGCAGCCGCGGUAAUACGGAGGAUCCGAGCGUUAUCCGGAUUUAUUGGGUUUAAAGGGUGCGUAGAUGGGUUGUUAAGUCAGUUGUGAAAGUUUGGGGCUCAACCGUAGAAUUGCAGUUGAUACUGGCAGCCUUGAGUACAGUAGAGGUAGGCGGAAUUCGUGGUGUAGCGGUGAAAUGCAUAGAUAUCACGAAGAACUCCGAUUGCGAAGGCAGCCUACUAAACUGCAACUGACAUUGAUGCUCGAAAGUGUGGGUAUCAAACAGGAUUAGAUACCCCUGUAGUC